rnacentral:rRNA from 1 species
UACGUAGGGUCCAAGCGUUGUCCGGAUUUAUUGGGCGUAAAGAGCUCGUAGGCGGUUUCGUAAGUCGGAUGUGAAAACUCAGGGCUCAACCCGGAGACGCCAUCCGAUACUGCGAUGACUUGAGUCUGGUAGGGGAACACGGAAUUCCUGGUGUAGCGGUGAAAUGCGCAGAUAUCAGGAGGAACACCGAUGGCGAAGGCAGUGUUCUGGGCCAGUACUGACGCUGAGGAGCGAAAGCGUGGGGAGCGAACAGG